GCCGGAGGGAUAGCUCAGUUGGUAGAGCAUGAAAAUUAAUCUCAAGGUUGUGGGUUCGAGCCCCAUGUUGGGCA